rnacentral:rRNA from 1 species
CGGCGAGCGAAAAGAAAAUAGUUCAGCACUAAGUCACUUUGUCUUUAUGGCAAAUGUGAGAUGCAGUGUAUGGAAUGUCAAAUUUCUAAUAUGAGAAAUUAACGAUUUAAGUCCUUCUUAAAUGAGGCCAUUUACCCAAAGAGGGUGCCAGGCCCGUAUAACGUUAAUGAUUAUUAGAUGGCAUUUCCAAAGAGUCGUGUUGCUUGAUAGUGCAGCACUAAGUGGGUGGUAAACUCCAUCUAAAACUAAAUAUAACCAUGAGACCGAUAGUAAACAAGUACCGUGAGGGAAAGUUGAAAAGAACUCUGAAUAGAGAGUUAAAUAGUACGUGAAACUGCUUAGAGGUUAAGCCCGAUGAACCUGAAUAUCCGUUAUGGAAAAUUCAUCAUUAUGAUUUUAAUAUUUAUAAUAUUAUAAUAAUGGUGUGCAUUUUUUCUAUAAAGGACAUUGUAAUCUAUUAAUAUAAAUUAAUUUAUCAUAAGAUCAUUAGCGUAAGUUUAUUCAAAUUAUUUUGCUUGCAUUUUAAUAUCGAAUAAAUGCUUUUGAUUUGAUAAAGUGUUGAUAGAUUUAUUAUAUACAGUGCUUAAAUAUUUAUAUUUUAUAAUAGCAUAUUAAUCAAUGAUUUUUAUGUUCAUUAUAUGCACUUGUAUGAUU